GACGAACGCUGGCGGCGUGCUUAACACAUGCAAGUCGAACGGUAAGGCCCUUCGGGGUACACGAGUGGCGAACGGGUGAGUAACACGUGGGUGAUCUGCCCUGCACUUCGGGAUAAGCCUGGGAAACUGGGUCUAAUACCGGAUAGGACUCCGGACUGCAUGGUCUGGGGUGGAAAGCUUUUGCGGUGUGGGAUGGGCCCGCGGCCUAUCAGCUUGUUGGUGGGGUGAUGGGCUAACAAGGCGACGACGGGUAGCCGGCCUGAGCGGGUGACCGGACACAGUGGGGCCGCGAUACUGCGCAGAGUCCUACGGGGGGCAUCAGGGGGGAAUAUUGCAGAAUGGGCGGAAGCCUGGUGCAGAGACGCCGCGUGAGGGAUGACGGCCUUCGGGUGGUGAACCUCUUUCAGCAUCGACGAAGCGAAAGGGACGGUAGGUGCAGAAGAAGGACCGGCCAACUACGUGCCAGCCGCCGCAGUAA
rnacentral:rRNA from 1 species